rnacentral:rRNA from 1 species
GAUGAACGCUGGCGGCGUGCCUAAUACAUGCAAGUCGAGCGAACGGACGAGAAGCUUGCUUCUCUGAUGUUAGCGGCGGACGGGUGAGUAACACGUGGAUAACCUACCUAUAAGACUGGGAUAACUUCGGGAAACCGGAGCUAAUACCGGAUGAUAUUUUGAACCGCAUGGUUCAAAAGUGAAAGACGGUCUUGCUGUCACUUAUAGAUGGAUCCGCGCUGCAUUAGCUAGUUGGUAAGGUAACGGCUUACCAAGGCAACGAUGCAUAGCCGACCUGAGAGGGUGAUCGGCCACCCUGGAACUGAGACACGGUCCCGACUCCUACGGGAGGCAGCAGUAGGGAAUCUUCCGCAAUUGGCGAAAGCCUGACGGAGCAACGCCGCGUGAGUGAUGAAGGUCUUCGGAUCGUAAAACUCUGUUAUUAGGGAAGAACAUAUGUGUAAGUAACUGUGCACAUCUUGACGGUACCUAAUCAGAAAGCCACGGCUAACUACGUG